UGUGUUCUGGCAGCUUGCAGGCUUAUCAUUGUACCAGAGAACUUAUGUGCUGUUUGGUAAGGAGUAAACCUUGUUCAGGAAACUGUUUAUCCACCUCGGCACUGUGUCCGCUUAUCAGCACAACACAGAAGCACCAGAGACUUUCCCAGCGCCGGACUCAGCAGCUCCAACUUAUCACCUUGCUGCAUUUUGCAACCUCACCACCAGCAGCACCGAGAGGUUUAUUCAAACAUGGAUACCGCACACAGGGCCUUUCAGAAUCCCUGCACAUUGCUUCGUGACCCAGACGGGUCCUGUUUGCUUUGCUUCUCCAAGUCAGACACACGCGUACAGUUCUAUAGCGUAUGACAUCACGAGACAAGACUUGUAAACCUGGAAGGAAGGGUCGAUAACAGCAGGACUCCGUUUUCUCUGCACCCUGAAAUUCCCAGAAGAGUUCUUGGCAUAUAUGCUGUGACGCAAAAGAAAUACAGUGGAUGAACUGUGACCUUUGCUCUCAUUCCCUGAAGGUCACCACUCUACUUUACAUACACAGAUGAGGCCCUCUAUUCCGGAAAUGAUAAGACAAACAACAGAGUAGAGACUCCCCCCGGCUGCCUGAGCCAGCUCUCCUGAGACCGCCGCUUCGCAUAAGAACCUUCACUUCUCAGCUGUCUCCCACAGGUUCAACCAGUGGACAUUGGCGCAAGGGAAAACAAAAUGAUUAUAUUGCCUCCAAUUUGAUUAUUACUUCAUCAUUAUUGUUUAUCUUGUGGUAAUACACAAUAAAGACUGUGACAAGUGAG